UCAAAACAAAUGUAAGUGCUCCGAAGGCCAUAAUACCUAAAAUAUUUAAUUAUUAAUACAAGUAAAGAGGUAAGAAAAACAAACUAUAAAAACUUUUUAGCUUUGUCAUGUUAAGUCCUCUCUUCAUUGUCAUAAUUUUCUUCAACAUAAAGUUGGUCUUGUAAACUUGAGUCUGCUAAAGAGAAAAAAAAACACCAAAACUUAACUUAAAAUAUUUGAAUGAAAAAAAUAUGACAAAAGAUUAAACUGACAAAAAAAUUAAGAAGCGAUUCCACGUAUAAAAGUUAUAGUUUCACAAGAUCUCUCUAACAUGAAUAGUAAAUGUGCCCCAUUUAUGCUUGAAGAAACUUGUGAAAAUAUAAAAUGAGAAACAUUAUUAAAACGAUAAAAGAUGAGAUUUUGGAACCUAUGUAUAUAUUUAUAACUAGGUAUACAAAUAAAUGUGCAACAAAAUAUAAUUACUUCCUCCAUCCCAUAGUUAUAGGCUGAUUUUUCAUUUUGAGAUGUCCCAAUAUAUAGGCUACUUACUAUUUAUAAAAUUUAGUUGGUUCAUUGUUUUACUUUUAUGCAUUUAUAAUAAAUAUUCAACCAUUACUCUUUUUUGAAAAAAUAACAUUCAAUGUCAUUAUUUUUAUCACCACAUUUAAUGUUGUUGUAUUCUCUUUGAUUAAAAUUCUAUGGUUGUGGACUUUAACACGUUAAUCAAUGAAGUUGAGAGUUCCAUUAAGGAGUAGUUAACUUAUUCAUUAAUUCCAUAUUAAGGGGUAUAUGUGGAAAAUUUAUGUUAAAAUUACCACUUAAACUAAUUUUCUUAAACUAUGUGCCAAAAGAAAUCAGCCUAUAACUAUGGGACGGAGGGAGUAUAAGUUAUCAUUAUGCACUUUAGGAAGCUUGGUACCUAUAUAUAUAUAUAUAUAUAUAUUGCUCCCUUCAAGUUUAACUUUUCCAUUAAUCUGCCCUUGAAUUUAUUAACUUAAAUAUUUUCUCAUACCUCUAUACCUAUAAACAAAAAAAAAUCUAAAUAGAUCACCCCUUACUUUAAUAAAAAAAAAAGUAUACUUAGAUAUUUGUAAGUUUGAUCUAAAAAUAUAAUAAUGAAAAAAGUAUUUAAUCCAUUCUUUUUUUUUCUUUUCUUUUGAUACUUAUCAAUAUUAUAAAGUGGGAGGAAAAUAUUGACAGUUAUUUUGGUGUAAACAUCAAAGUGAAGAUUUUUUAUUUCAUUUCUUACCCUUUAAAAUUAGUUAUUUAUUAGGGAGAGAUGAAUCUUGAAUUUCUGAUGAAGAUUAAUUGCAAUUGAACGAGUAAUACUACUAUCACAUAAAAUCGCUCACAUACAUUCACAUACAUAUUGAAGAUUUAUUACAAGGGUCCAUAUAGGGCAUACCAAUAUGUAUGUGAAUGUAUGUGAGCGAUUUUAUGUGAUAGUAGUAUUACUCGUUCAAUUGCAAUUAAUCUUCAUCAGAAAUUCAAGAUUCAUCUCUCCCUAAUAAAUAACUAAUUUUAAAGGGUAAGAAAUGAAAUAAAAAAUCUUCACUUUGAUGUUUACACCAAAAUAACUGUCAAUAUUUUCCUCCCACUUUAUAAUAUUGAUAAGUAUCAAAAGAAAGGUUCCUUAACACUAAUAUACAACAAUUAGAAAAUAUUUACAAAAAUAAUACAUACACAAAAUAAUUACAAAAAUAACGCAAUUCACAUUAAUAAGGAAACAUAAAAUCAAAGAGAAAUAACUGCCAUAAUUAAUAAUUCAAAUUCAAAUAUCUGAGAUUUAACAAAAAAAAUAAAUUCAAAUUCAAAAUAAUAAUUCAAAUUCAAAUUAAUACAUUUGGGUAUUAAAUAAAAAUACAACAAAUUGUUAAGAGAAAUAGAUGGAGAAGAGUGUGAUCACCAGAGGUGAACGGAGACAGAUAUAUCACGGCGACGGAAGGUGAUGGGCGGCAAGUCAAGAUUGAGGCUGUGGGUAGUGAUGGGGGUAGACUUCGAUCUGAUUUGUUACCAAAGUAAAAACCAAACAACCAUAAUCGGUUAUUAUGCAAUUGACGGUCGGAUCGGAAUUGUACACGUACUUUCUUAAGUUGUUUGGAUUGCCCAACUGUUAAACCAAUUUUGUUUGACUGUUAAACCAAUUUAUUAAUUAUACACUGCAUAGAAAACAGAAAGAUAAGAGAGUGAUGUGUAAUGUAAUAUUGAUAAUCAAACCUUCGUACCAAGGUAACCAAACUUUUAUACCAAGGUAACCAAACCUUUAUAUCAAGGUAACCAAUCUACCUCCACACCUGCAGUAUGAAUUGGUUAUCUUCGUCUGAAAGUUUGACAACCAACUACAUGAAGGUUUGGCUACCAACUGCAUCACAUUCAAAAUAAAUUGGUAACUUAAUAAAACUGAAUUGGUUACCUUAGUAUGAAGGUUUGGAUACCCACUGCAUCACAUUCAAAAUAAAUUGGUAACUUAAUAAAACUGAAUUGGUUACCUUAGUAUGAAGGUUUGGAUACCCACUGCAUCACAUUCAAAAUAAAUUGGUAACCUAAUAACACUUAAUUAGUUACCUUGGUAUGAAUGUUUGGCUACCAACUGCACUAUGAAAAAACUGCAGGUGUGGAUGUGAAUUGGUUACCUUGGUAUGAAGGUUUUAUUACCUUGGUAUGAAGGUUUUGUUACAUUGGUGAAAGUUUGGUUACCAACUGCACUAUGAAAAAACUGAAGGUGUGGAAGUGGAUUGGUUACCUUGGUAUGACAAUUUGAUUACCUUAGUAUAAAUGUUUGGUUACCAACUGCACUAUGAAAAAACUGCAGGUGUGGAGGUGGAUUGGUAACCUUGGUAUGAAAGUUUGGUAACCUUGGUAUGAAGGUUUGGUUACCAAUCUCUUCUAUCAGUUGCUGAUUUUGGAUCAAAUCUAAUAAUCAAGGUAAACAUUGGGACAAAUAUGCCACCACCACCAACACCGCCUACACUUCCAAAUGGAGCUCCACAUAAUCCAAUUACGGAACCGACAACAAUUUGCCAACUAAAUUUCAUUUCGGGCCAAACAUGUUGAUAACCUGAUUGAUAUGUCUAAACUUAUUUCAAACAAAUAUAAGAUAUACUAAUAUAUAAAAAAGAUGAAUUCUAUGUGGAAUAGAGAUUCGGCAACAAAAUGUGUCUGCUACUACACUAUGAGGUACAUGUUGCCCUAUAUCCCCUUCAGUAACCUUUCGAAAAAUGUUGCGGAUCAGUUCAACGAUGCUGCGAGGAAAAGGAAAUGUAAGUUUACAAAACAUUUCAACAGAAAGUUCUGUUCCUUGUCAUCCUAUGGUGUCUCAUCUGUCAUGGAUGAUGCCUCCUCUCCUAAAAGUAAAUAUUCUGCUAUAAAGAAUAGUUCACUAAAUGCUCCCACAUCUUCCUGUAAAUAAUCUAUCUUAUUGGCUUAUUCGCUGCAACAACAAAUAUAGUAAUUGUGGUAUGUUUUGAUCCUCAACUGCUUCGUGCUAUACAUGCUCUCUGGUCUCCACCUGUUACUCAAGCAUUGCUUGGAGAAAUAAAAGCUGCAAUGGUUACGAGUGAUGUCGAGCGAACCAGUCUUCUUAGUGAAGGAAACCCUAAAUUGCCUAAGGGUGGAUUAACCUUUACCGAUGGAUCUCUGUUUGACAUGAAUAAGGAAGGUGUUGCAGAGCCAAAUGAAACUGAGAUACAAAAUUGGUUGAAGGGUACGAGAGAUAAGGAGAUAAUCGCAGGCCACGAUUAAAGGAUACUAAAUGUAUUAAUUUUGUAAAUAAAUAUGAAAAAAUGUAUUAUUUUUGUGAUUAUUUUAUUUAUGCACCAUUAUUGUAAUUAUUUCUAAAAAUGUAUUAAAAUAUGUAAUUAAUCCUUAUUACAAUUGAACGUGGUGUAAAACUAAUGAGAGAAAAUUGAGGAGAUAAAAGAGGAUAUCAAGAUACCCCACUGUGUUGAUUAUAAUUUAAAGGAAAUUAUUAAAUUCACAAAAAAAAAUGUUAUUUUCACAACAAAAGUGUCGCAAUAGAUCCUAUAGCGACGGUUUUUACCAUCACUAUACAUUUACCGCGACACUUUUGUUGUGAAAAUAACAAAAAAUAUUGUGGAUUUAACAAUUCCCUAAUUUAAAUCAUUCCUUUAGUUUCAGAAAAUAGAGUUCAUUUGAUUGAAAGACGAAAAAUACCAUAUAUAAAAAAAGCACAAAAAAGAGUCAUAUUUUUUAUGGUAUAAAAUGAUAAAAAUAUCUUUAUCACCACAAUAAAUUUUAGAUAAAUAUUAUAAUAAAUUUUUAUAAACAAGAAUCUUCCGAGAGUGAAAAUAUUAUUAUUCUUCUUAUUUGUAUUUCUCCUCGAAGAAGACCCAUAGUUAAUAGAAGAAUAUUCAGAAACAGAAAUUGAAGAUUUUAUUUUGUUUGACUUUAGAGCAUCUCCAAUAGUAGUAGCAAAAAAAACUCUUUAAAUUUAAGUUUGUUGACCUACGUGACAAUUUGAAGAGCAUUAAUUUCUACUUCAUAUUUUUUGUUUCAUCAGUCUAUUCAAUUCAAUAAGUUGUACAUCAAACCCAUCAAGCAAAAUAAAUGUGUCUUUUCAAUUCAAUGAGUUGUACAUCAAACUCAUCAAGUAAAAUAAAUAUUUUUAGCUUUUUUCAUAUGAUUUUCAUUCUCCCAAAAUAAAUUAAAUGUUUUGAAGAGAAUGAAUGAGGUUGCAGAUUUGAAAAGAGAGAAUGAGGUUGUAGAUUUGAUGACUAAGGUUUGAGAGACUGUUAUAGAUAAUUUUUCUGAUGUGACUCACCUAUUUAAGUAUUCCAAAAUAAUUGAAGAGGCUGUUAGAGAUCUCUAAAAGCUUCAAAAUGGAAUCUACUAGGUAGAAGGUUACAAGUCCAAUGAAUUUAAUAUGUUGAGUUCUUCUUGUUUCAAAAUUCAGUCUUUUGGGGACACCAGCUGUGAAUUAGGUCCAUCUAGUAGGUACCAUAUUCCAAUUACUCAACCUAACUUCACCCACUCCAUCUUUUUUAUUCUUAUAUCCGUUCCUAAAAGAUUGUUGUUUAAAUUUUUUGCACAAUGAUUAAGAAAGUAUCAUUUACCAAGUAAAAUUUGUUUAAAAUUUUAUCACUACCCCUUUAUGGGAAGUUGAAAAUUAUUAAUACAAGGGAGAGAAUUUCUUGGGACAAUGAGAGAAAGUAAGGGUAGUAUAAGAAAGUAAAUAAUUUAUUCUCCUUAAAAGUUGUAAACGACAAACAUUUUUGAACACAUUUUUUCUUCUAAAACGAUAAUCUUUUAGGAACGGAGGGAGUAUUAUAGAGUAAAUGGGAUUAAGAUUAAUAUUUGCUAAGAUUGGCAAAUGAAAUAAUGUUGUCAAAUAUUAAAAAUUUAGUUUGACAAAUAAAAUAAUGUUGCCAAAUAUUAAAAAAUUCUUUUUGUCACAUCUAGGGGUGUAAACGAGUUUCUUUUUAUAAUUUUUAUCGAUAUUAUUUGACUUGUUUAUUUAAGUUGUGGUCUCAACUCUCAAGAUGAGAAAUUAAAUAAUACUACCUCCGUUCCUAAAAAAUUAUCGUUUAAAGUUUUGCGUAUGGAUUAAGAAAGUAUCAUUUACCUAGUAAAAUUUGUUUGAAAUUCCAUCACUACCCCUUUAUGGGAAGUUGAAAACUAUUAAUACAAAAAAGAGAAUUUCUUAGAACAAUGAGAGAAGGUAGGGGUAAUAUAGGAAAAUAAAUAAUUUAUUAUCUUCAAAAGUUAUAAACGACAAACUUUUUGAAACAAAUUUUUUCUUUUAAAACGGCAAUCUUUUAGGAACAGAGGGAGUAAUAUCUUAAGCCUAACAUUACAAGUUGGGUAUUUUAAAAACGUUUGUUGAUCCCUAUUCUGGUGAUAAGCUCUGACAUUAAAUCAUAGAAAUUGAUAUUUCUACAAUAUUUUUUGAUAUUUUUAUAAUAAAAAUGUCGUUAUAAAUAUUUAACGACAGUGAAACCAUCGCUAUAGGAUCUAAAACGACUGUUUUAUUAUGAAAAUAUUAUUUUCUAUUAGAAUUUAUCAGUUUCCUAAAUCAUUCCUAUCUUCACAAAUAUGUAAUGAAUAAUUAACAAGUACCUCAACUUUCUACUUGGACUUGACCACAAAAAUACACAAAGAAGAAACAAAGACGAAAUAGAGAUUUAUUUAUUACCCAAAGAAGAAGUAACAAAGAGGUCAGAGAUGUGAUUGAUGCAUGAAGCUGAUUUCUUGUCAUAAUUUUUUUUUUUAAAAAUCUUUUUGUUUUAAAAUCCAAGAUUUAUUUUCAAAUUAAUAUUAAAAAAACAAUUUUAGAACAGCAAAUUUAGAAGAUAAAAUCAAUAUAAUCUUAUGGGGAUCCUUUUGUGAAUGGGAAAACAACAAUUUUAGAAGAUAAAAUCAAUAUAAUCUAUAAAUAUGGUACAACAAAUUGAGUAAUUACAUAAUACAGAUAACUUUCAAGUUCUUACAGAUAACUUUCGAGACUCGAGGGGCACAACCGCACAGCAGUGAGCAGAGGUUAUGGCUCGGAUCAGUCAGAUGGGGAAGAGUCGCGAUGGGUGAUGAUAUUGGGCUGAAAUUUGGGCACCGUGUGGGACAAAGAGGAGACCUCAAGCACUGAAGGAGAAA
rnacentral:lncRNA from 1 species